CCACUAGCGUAUAUUAAAGUUGUUGCCGUUACAAAGCUCGUAGUUGAAUUUCGGGAUUCUUCCGUUGGUCAGGCUAACCAGUCUGUACUAGCGUGUAGAAUUCCUACCUUCUGGGGAACCAUCAUGUUAUUAAUUUAGCGUGGUGGGAAACCAGGACCUUUACCUUGAAAAAAUUAGAGUGUUCAAAGCAGGCUUACGUCUGAAUACAUUAGCAUGGAAUAAUAAAAUAGGACGGUGGUCCUGUUUUGUUGGUUUCUGAAUCACCGUAAUGAUUAAUAGGGAUAGUUGGGGGCAUUAGUAUUCAAUUGUCAGAGGUGAAAUUCUUGGAUUUAUUGAAGACUAACUUCUGCGAAAGCAUUUGCCAAGGAUGUUUUCAUUAAUCAAGAACGAAAGUUAGGGGAUCGAAGACGAUCAGAUACCGUCGUAGUCUUAACUAUAAACUAUGCCGACUAGGGAUCGGACGAUGUUAAAUUUUAUUGACUCGUUCGGCGCCUUACG
rnacentral:rRNA from 1 species